AUCCCAGUAGUGCAAUGGAUAGCACGUUGGACUUCUAAUCCAAAGGUCAUGCGUUCGAAUCCUGCUUGGGAUG